AGGGUUUGAUCCUGGCUCAGAGUGAACGCUGGCGGCGUGGAUUAGGCAUGCAAGUCGAGCGAUGUUGUAGCAAUACAGCAUAGCGGCAAAUGGGUGAUUAACACGUGGGUAACGUACCUCGAGGAAGGGCAUAGUCUGGUGAAAGCCAGAGUAAUUCCCUGUAGUCCGUAAGUCUGAAAUGGCUUCCGGUAAAGAUGGCCUCUAUUUAUAAGCUAUCGCCACGAGAGCGGCCCGCGGCCUAUCAGGUAGUUGGUGAGGUAAUGGCUCACCAAGCCUAAGACGGGUAGCUGGUCUAAAGGAUGGUCAGCCACAUCGGAACUGAGAUACUGUCCGGACUCCUACGGGAGGCUGCAGUCGAGAAUCUUUCUCAAUGGACGAAAGUCUGAAGAUGCGACGCCGCGUGAGGGAUGAAGGCCUUCGGGUCGUAAACCUCUUUUGCUAGGGAGGAAACGCCGUAAGUGAACAAUUUACGGAACUGACUGCACCUGGCGAAUAAGCCACGGCUAACUCCGUGCCAGCAGCCGCGGUAAUACGGAGGUGGCAAGCGUUACUCGGUUUGACUAGGUGUAAAGGGUUCGUAGGCGGUCUUGUAAGUGGAAGGUGAAAUCUUUUGGCUCAACCAAAAAACUGCCUUUCAAACUGCUUGACUAGAGGUUGGGAGGGGAGAGCGGAACUGCUAGUGUAAAGGUGAAAUUUGUGGAUAUUAGCAGGAACGCCAGUGGAGAAGUCGGCUCUCUGGUCCAAUCCUGACGCUGAGGAACGAAAGCUAGGGGAGCAAACAGGAUUAGAUACCCUGGUAGUCCUAGCUGUAAACUAUGAGCACUAGGUGUUUGUCCCUUUAGGGAUGGGCGCCGUAGGAAAUCUGUUAAGUGCUCCACCUGGGGACUACGGUCGCAAGACUAAAACUCAAAGGAAUUGACGGGGGCCCGCACAAGCAGUGGAACACGUGGUUUAAUUCGAUGCUACGCGAGGAACCUUACCAAGGUUUGACAUGCUAGAAGUAGUGCUGCGAAAGCAGUUCCGACCUGUAUCCAGUCAGGAGCUAGCACAGGUGCUGCAUGGUUGUCGUCAGCUCGUGCCGUGAGGUGUUUCCUUAAGUGGAAGAACGAGCGCAACCCUCGCUAUUUGUUGCUACCGGUUCUGCUUACAGAGCCGCGCACUCUAAUGGGACUGCCCGCGUUAAGUGGGAGGAAGGUGGGGACGACGUCAAAUCCGCAUGGCCCUUAUAUCUUGGGCUACACACGUGUUACAAUGCCUACUACAAUGGGACGCCAAGCCGCGAGGCGGAGCAAAUCCUAAUAAAAGUAGGCCCAGUUCGGAUUGGAGGCUGCAACUCGUCUCCAUGAAGCUGGAAUUGCUAGUAAUGGCGUAUCAGCUACGACGCCGUGAAUACGUUCCCGGGCCUUGUACACACCGCCCGUCAAGCGCCGAAAGUGGGGGGCACCCGAAGCUUUGUUUUACAAAUCCACGGUGAAUUUCAUGAUUGGCGCUAAGUCGAAACAAGGUA
rnacentral:rRNA from 1 species